rnacentral:rRNA from 1 species
AAAGAUUAAGCCAUGCAUGUCUAAGUACAAGCCCUUUUAAGGUGAAACCGCGAAUGGCUCAUUAAAUCACACCUAAUGCACUGGAUAGUUUCAGUUACUUGGAUAACUGCGGUAAUUCUGGAGCUAAUACAUGCGACACAGCCCUGACGCAAGGAGGGGCGCUUUUAUUAGAUCAAAACCAAACGGGAUCUUCCCGUGACACUGGUGAUUCUGAAUAACUUUGGGCAGAUCGCACGGCCUCGCGCCGGCGACGUAUCCUUCCAAGGUGUGCCCUAUCAACUGUCGACUGU